rnacentral:rRNA from 1 species
UACGUAGGGGGCAAGCGUUGUCCGGAUUUAUUGGGCGUAAAGAGCGUGUAGGCGGCCUGAAAGGUCAGCUGUGAAAACUCGAGGCUCAACCUCGAGACGUCGGUUGAAACCAUCUGGCUAGAGUCCGGAAGAGGAGUGUGGAAUUCCCGGUGUAGCGGUGAAAUGCGCAGAUAUCCGGAAGAACACCGGUGGCGAAGGCGGUUAGCUGGGCAGCUGCUGACACUGAGGCGCGACAGCGUGGGGAGCAAACAGG